rnacentral:rRNA from 1 species
GAUGAACGCUGGCGGCGUGCCUAAUACAUGCAAGUCGAGCGAACAGACGAGGAGCUUGCUCCUCUGACGUUAGCGGCGGACGGGUGAGUAACACGUGGAUAGCCUACCUAUAAGACUGGGAUAACUUCGGGAAACCGGAGCUAAUACCAGAUAAUAUAUUGAACCGCAUGGUUCAAUAGUGAAAGACGGUUUUGCUGUCACUUAUAGAUGGAUCCGCGCCGCAUUAGCUAGUUGGUAAGGUAACGGCUUACCAAGGCAACGAUGCGUAGCCGACCUGAGAGGGUGAUCGGCCACACUGGAACUGAGACACGGUCCAGACUCCUACGGGAGGCAGCAGUAGGGAAUCUUCCGCAAUGGGCGAAAGCCUGACGGAGCAACGCCGCGUGAGUGAUGAAGGUCUUCGGAUCGUAAAACUCUGUUAUUAGGGAAGAACAAAUGUGUAAGUAACUAUGCACGUCUUGACGGUACCUAAUCAGAAAGCCACGGCUAACUACGUG